AUUGAACGCUGGCGGAAUGCUUUACACAUGCAAGUCGAGCGGCAGCGCGGGGCAACCUGGCGGCGAGCGGCGAACGGGUGAGUAAUACAUCGGAACGUACCCAGUUGUGGGGGAUAGCCCGGCGAAAGCCGGAUUAAUACCGCAUACGACCUGAGGGUGAAAGCGGGGGAUCGCAAGACCUCGCGCAGUUGGAGCGGCCGAUGGCGGAUUAGCUAGUUGGUGAGGUAAAGGCUCACCAAGGCGACGAUCCGUAGCUGGUCUGAGAGGACGACCAGCCACACUGGAACUGAGACACGGUCCAGACUCCUACGGGAGGCAGCAGUGGGGAAUUUUGGACAAUGGGGGAAACCCUGAUCCAGCCAUUCCGCGUGAGUGAAGAAGGCCUUCGGGUUGUAAAGCUCUUUCGGCAGGAACGAAACGGCGAGCUCUAACAUAGCUUGCUAAUGACGGUACCUGAAGAAGAAGCACCGGCUAACUACGUGCCAGCCGCCGCAGUAA
rnacentral:rRNA from 1 species